UGGGGGAUAUUGCACAAUGGGCGAAAGCCUGAUGCAGCGACGCCGCGUGGGGGAUGAAGGCUUUCGGGUUGUAAACCUCUUUCGCUAUCGAACAAGGCCCGCUUAGGGUGGGUUGAGGGUAGGUGGAGAAGAAGCGCCGGCUAACUACGUGCCAGCAGCCGCGGUAAUACGUAGGGCGCGAGCGUUGUCCGGAAUUAUUGGGCGUAAAGGGAUUGUAGGCGGCUUGUUGCGCCUGCUGUGAAAACGCGGGGCUUAACUUCGCGCGUGCAGUGGGUACGGGCAUGCUUGAGUGUGGUAGGGGUGACUGGAAUUCCAGGUGUAGCGGUGGAAUGCGCAGAUAUCUGGAGGAACACCGAUGGCGAAGGCAGGUCACUGGGCCAUUACUGACGCUGAGGAGCGAAAGCAUGGGUAGCGAACAGG
rnacentral:rRNA from 1 species